rnacentral:rRNA from 1 species
AUUGAACGCUGGCGGCAUGCCUUACACAUGCAAGUCGAACAGCUGCACGGGAGCAAUCCUGGUGGCGAGUGGCGAACGGGUGAGUAAUAUAUCGGAACGUGCCCAGUCGUGGGGGAUAACGUAGCGAAAGCUACGCUAAUACCGCAUACGAUCUAUGGAUGAAAGCGGGGGAUCGCAAGACCUCGCGCGAUUGGAGCGGCCGAUAUCAGAUUAGGUAGUUGGUGAGGUAAAGGCUCACCAAGCCGACGAUCUGUAGCUGGUCUGAGAGGACGACCAGCCACACUGGGACUGAGACACGGCCCAGACUCCUACGGGAGGCAGCAGUGGGGAAUUUUGGACAAUGGGCGCAAGCCUGAUCCAGCAAUGCCGCGUGCAGGAUGAAGGCCUUCGGGUUGUAAACUGCUUUUGUACGGAACGAAACGGCGAGCUCUAAUACAGUUUGCUAAUGACGGUACCGUAAGAAUAAGCACCGGCUAACUACGUGCCAGCAGCCGCAGUAA